rnacentral:rRNA from 1 species
GUCCACGCCGUAAACGUUGGGCACUAGGUGUGGGUCUCUAUCGACGGGAUCCGUGCCGUAGCUAACGCAUUAAGUGCCCCGCCUGGGGAGUACGGCCGCAAGGCUAAAACUCAAAGGAAUUGACGGGGGCCCGCACAAGCGGCGGAGCGUGUGGCUUAAUUCGAUGCAACGCGAAGAACCUUACCUGGGCUUGACAUUUAGGGAAAAGCUGGUGAAAGCCAGUGUGCUUCGGCGUCCUAAACAGGUGGUGCAUGGCUGUCGU